rnacentral:rRNA from 1 species
GACGAACGCUGGCGGCGUGCUUAACACAUGCAAGUCGAACGGAAAGGCCCUGCUUGCAGGGUACUCGAGUGGCGAACGGGUGAGUAACACGUGGGUGAUCUGCCCUGCACUUCGGGAUAAGCCUGGGAAACUGGGUCUAAUACCGGAUAGGAGCCAUUUUUAGUGUGAUGGUUGGAAAGUUUUUUCGGUGUAGGAUGAGCUCGCGGCCUAUCAGCUUGUUGGUGGGGUAAUGGCCUACCAAGGCGGCGACGGGUAGCCGGCCUGAGAGGGUGGACGGCCACAUUGGGACUGGGUUAGGGCCCAGACUCCAACGGGGGGCAGCGGGGGGGAAUAUUGCACAAUGGGCGCAAGCCUGAUGCAGCGCGGCCGCGUGGGGAUGACGGCCUUCGGGUUGUAAACUCCUUUCGCUAGGGACGAAGCUUUUUGUGACGGUACCUAGAUAAGAAGCACCGGCUAACUACGUG